GGCAUCCCUCUUCCUGCAAACCUUCCAUUUUAUUUUUCAGCCCUCUCUCGGAUCUCUUCUCUGUUCUCUCGGACCCCAUCCAUGGUGGAGCGACACAGGCAUGUCUGAUUCCUCUAUAAUAGUGCUCUGGUCCGCAACACUGAGACCCAAACGAGCAGAUCUAAAACAGGUCGUCCAAAAAUCCUCCCUUUGCAGUUUCCUCGCAGAUUGAUGCAUCCGUAGCCUUCCAUAACCCAACAACAACGCACCUCCGUGAGUACCCCGCCGUGGUGGAAAAUCGAAAAAACGGAAACCCAAAGUGUGAAGAGCCCUAAUGGUUUCAAAUCCGAGACAACAACACAAGAACACACCCUGAGUCAGCAGCUCAGCUCAACCAAGGAUCUGCAAAUGUUGAGCGUAUAACCGAGAGAAAACAAGCUUAAGCUGCCGGUCUAAUGGUCCCAGAAGGCAAAAUAAACAGCAAAUGUCUUGGCCGCUACAAAUCAUGAAGGGGUAUACGGAUCCAUGAUAGAGCCAAGGAAAUAGAAGUAAACACACAAGCUUAACGGAUGAAAACAGCACAGGCCGCAUGACCCAGAUCGGUGCAUCUGGGAGAGAGAUUGGAACAAAUGGCUCGAAUUUAGUUCAUUAUUGCUUUGUGACGAUAGAAAUUCAUGUCUGUCAAUCCACUGACUGGUAACAGUUUGAUGUUACUGUGAAUCCCGACAGGUUCCGAUCGCUUUCUUUCUAAAUUCCAUCGCUUUUCACACUUCAAAUUUCACUCCCACACACAACCCCACUCGUUUUGUUAUUUCUUUGCUUGAAAAGAAUGUGGGCAGGUGAUGAAUCAAAUUGGUAUUUAUGGGUAAUUUGCGUCUGAAUUUCAUUGAUGUUUUAUCAAUCACCUUGGAGAACUGAUGCCCUUGUUCUUUCUUUUUUACAUUUCUUGUCUUAUUUUGUUAAAUUUGAUAAUUUAUGGUCUGUGAUGAUAAAUCCAAAGG
rnacentral:sRNA from 1 species